CUCUAUUUCAAAGGCUGUGAAUCAGACGGUUGUGUAAAGAAGUUACUUUAAAUGCCUUAAUGGAGUGAAAGGCACCCUGUGGCCGACUCCAGGAGGUGACUGGCUCGCCCCCGCACAGCCGCGCGCGAGGAGGCCUGCCGGUGGUGGCCCAGGCCAGGUCUGAGACAGCCUCUGCAGUGCUGCCAUCAUGGGGGAAGUUCUGGAACAGUUCUUCAUUUUUGUAGGGCUGCUGGUGUGCCUAGUGUACCUCGUGAAGUGCGUGAGAUUCUCCAAAUGUAUUUUCCUGCGCUUCUGGAAGGUUUUGCCGAGAUCUUUCUUGAAGUCAAUGGGACAGUGGGCAGUGAUCACUGGAGCAGGAGCUGGGAUUGGGAAGGCUUAUUCAUUCGAGAGCUAGGAUGUAAACCAUCUGAUUCCAGAAGCUGUCAUCGUGUUGCCUCCCCGUACCAUCACAGCAGGAGAAAAUAUCACAGUUGGAAAAUGCCAGUGAUCUAGAUGUCAGCAAUCUCGUCAAUUGGUUUCCUAGAUAAAAUACGCAAGUACUGGACCAUUCCAUUUAAAACUAUAUACAUAGUACACUAUCCACCUCCUGCUCUUCAAGCCAGUACCCCAAGUUUGAGACGAGAACACAUGAGCAACUCAGUCUAGAGGAAUUAUCCCAAACAAAAGUCCCCAAACCACUGGGGAGUUUCUGAAAAAAGGAAUGGCCACCCCCAAGUAAUUUUCAGUAUCUCCAAAAAGCCAAAUUUUCAGAAUAUUUUCCAUCGCAAAGCCUCAGGGAUGAGAGAGAACAUAGAGUGGAGUCUGGGGAAGUACCAGAGUUGGAGCUUGCAUUGUUCUCCCUGGGGUCAGGAAACCUGACUUGCCCAGCGUCAUUGUGUGAUGAUAUCCAUGGAGUAUUCCAAGCAGGGAGGCUCGGCCAAGCCUCAGCGUUCAGAGUUUAUUGGGGUUCCAUCGCAUAGGCAUGACUGAUUGCCCAUGGGGCCGAUCUCAGUCUCUGGCCCCUGCAGGCAUCACCCACGGCCCCCACCCUAAACCAUAUUAUUAGUCUUUCUGGUGUGGCCAGCCCCAACUGGGUAUAGCCAACUCCCAUCCUAAAUCACACUGUUAGGCUAUCCAGCAAGAUCCUAAGUCCCCAGGGAAACGACAUUUCUUUCAGGCUUAACAUUCCAAGAGUUUAGGAUUCUCUCUCAGAAGCCAAGGGCAAAGGCUGGACAUCUUUUCGGGUAAGGUUAAAUUCUUGACUGCACAGACUGCCUCUUCUAGACAAACUCUCUGAGUCGCUGUGCUGGGUGCCUGGCAGGGUGGUAGCCUCUGGUCCUGUCUGCUUUCCUCUCCCCAGCAUGGGACCUCUGCCCUACAAUCAAGUUGGGGCAAGGACGAUUGGGAACCCAGUGUUCUUGGCCUCCUGCACCUGGGGUAGGGCCUCCAUCCAUGGGCUUGGUAGAGGGGGCCCUGUCCCUCAGCCACACUCACCAGGAGCUGAGCCUCUCCCACUUGGAGAUGAGAAACACUAGUGGCCUGCCCCUGCAAGUCAGAUCCGGUGACCCUUGAUUGGGAGCUGAGAAGAGCUCCCAACGCACUGGGGACGGAGCUUCCAUCAGGCUGAGGAGGGGAGAGGAACUGGGUCAAGGCUUAAAUGCCACAGGCUCUCACUGUUCUUACCCAGCUUUAUCAGGUUUUCUUGAAUCAAUGUUUCUUCAUUUGCUACAUCCCCUCGGACGAUUUCGAGAGAGCUUAAAUGGUUGUUUCCUGAGAGCUUCCUCUAGUUUUGCUUGUUUCACUGGAGAGUGGGUCCACAGAGCUCCUCAUGUGGCCAUCCCACCUCUUCACAGACUUCUAACAUCACGCUCCAGGGAAGCAGUCACAGAACUUGAAGAACAGGUGCCGUGCUGUGACUCGAGCGGGGAUCCACAUCUCUGUUUGAUCUUUGAACAGGGAGGCUACGGCAGUGAAGCCGAGCUGCCCUGCCCCAUGGCCUCCCUCUCUGGCCCUCCGGCUGCAGACGGCUGACCACAUCUGCCUGGAACGUGCCCCUGGGCUCCUCCGCACCCAUUCAGUCAGCAAAGCUCCACUGGUACUAAGGCCAAAAACGAAACAAUUUCCUGAGAAAACAUAUUAAUCUGGAAUUUUCUCUCUCCCUCUACAGCAGUAAUCCUUACUUCUUUCAGUGCCAUGGGCCCCAACUACGGCCUCCUCCUCCAAAUAAUGUUUUUAAAUGCAUAAAGUAAAAUACAUAAAAGUAUAAAG
ensembl:lncRNA